rnacentral:tRNA from 1 species
GGGGCUGUAGCUCAGUGGCAGAGUACCUGCCUAGCAGGCACUGGGUUCGAUCCUCAGCACCA